GGCACCAUAGCUUAGCUGGUCAAAGCACCUGUUUUGUAAACAGGAGAUCCUGGGUGCGAUUCCCAGAGGUGCCU